rnacentral:rRNA from 1 species
UACGGGGGGGGCAAGCGUUGUUCGGAUUUACUGGGCGUAAAGGGCUCGUAGGCGGCCAACUAAGUCAUACGUGAAAUCCCUCGGCUUAACCGGGGAACUGCGUCUGAUACUGGAUGGCUUGAGUUCGGGAGAGGGAUGCGGAAUUCCAGGUGUAGCGGUGAAAUGCGUAGAUAUCUGGAGGAACACCGGUGGCGAAGGCGGCAUCCUGGACCGAUACUGACGCUGAGGAGCGAAAGCCAGUUGAGCAAACGGG